rnacentral:rRNA from 1 species
AUGCACUUAGAAGAUUACAACUGUGCCCUUUGUGCAGAUUCCACUGAGGAAACCAACACUCAUCUUUUUUGGGAUUGCCAAUUUGCUGGCUACUGCUGGAAUAGAGUUGUUCCUGCUAAGCAUAGAGGUACUUCUACCUAUAAUGAGGUUCUUUUCACUCUCAGUACGCUGCCUAAGAAUAUUGCAAUGGAAGUGGUGAUUAUGGGCUGUUGGAGCAUCUGGAUGAUCAGAAAUGAUAAAAUCUUCAGAAAGGCACCGAUGAGUUAUGGAUCCUGGAAACAUUAUCUCCGAGAAGGCAUGGAAAUGACUAGACUUAGAGCAAAGCAAAAGAAGGCUGAUUUGAUUACCAGUUGGAUAGAGCAUAAUCUCUAA